GACGAACGCUGGCGGCGUGCCUAAUACAUGCAAGUCGAACGCAGUGGGGACGGUUGAGUAACACGUGGGUAACCUCCCAUCAGAGGGGAUAACACUUGGAAACAGGUGCUAAACCGAUACUGAAUGAUGGACCCGGGGUGCAUUAGCUAGUUGGUGGGGUAACGGCUCACCAAGGCUACGAUGCAUAGCCGGCCUGAGAGGGUGAUCGGCCACACUGGGACUGAGACACGGCCCAGACUCCUACGGGAGGCAGCAGUAGGGAAUCUUGCGCAAUGGACGAAAGUCUGACCGAGCAACGCCGCGUGAGUGAAGAAGGUUUUCGGAUUGUAAAACUCUGUUGUUAGAGAAGCGGUAUCUAAACAGAAAGCAACGGCUAACUACGUGCCAGCAGCCGCGGUAAUUC
rnacentral:rRNA from 1 species